AUUGAACGCUGGCGGCAGGCCUAACACAUGCAAGUCGAACGGUAACAGGAAGAAGCUUGCUUCUUUGCUGACGAGUGGCGGACGGGUGAGUAAUGUCUGGGAAACUGCCUGAUGGAGGGGGAUAACUACUGGAAACGGUAGCUAAUACCGCAUAACGUCGCAAGACCAAAGAGGGGGACCUUCGGGCCUCUUGCCAUCGGAUGUGCCCAGAUGGGAUUAGCUAGUAGGUGGGGUAACGGCUCACCUAGGCGACGAUCCCUAGCUGGUCUGAGAGGAUGACCAGCCACACUGGAACUGAGACACGGUCCAGACUCCUACGGGAGGCAGCAGUGGGGAAUAUUGCACAAUGGGCGCAAGCCUGAUGCAGCCAUGCCGCGUGUAUGAAGAAGGCCUUCGGGUUGUAAAGUACUUUCAGCGGGGAGGAAGGGAGUAAAGUUAAGACCUUUGCUCAUUGACGUUACCCGCAGAAGAAGCACCGGCUAACUCCGUG
rnacentral:rRNA from 1 species